AAUCCCCUUUUAUCUCUCCACCAAUCGGGUGAUUUUGACGCCAGGGAAUGAGAAUGGGGUUUUACCCCCAAAAUAUUUCCAGAGAGUUCUGCAGCUGAAACCGUCCCGAUGUGUACUCCCCCUUGACAGAUGAAGUACUCCUGGUGCCCCAGCCACCUGCUGCCAACACUGAGCUGCUCUCAGUCCUGAGGGCCACCCACCAUGUUAUUCCAGCAGAUUAAAACACAGCCACAAACUCA